UCUGGUUGAUCCUGGCGGAGGCCAUUGCUAUCGGAGUCCGAUUUAGCCAUGCCAGUCGCACGAGUUCAGACUCGUGGCAUAUAGCUCAGUAACACGUGGCCAAACUACCCUACAGACCGCGAUAACCUCGGGAAACUGAGGCCAAUAGCGGAUACGGCUCUCAUGCUGGAGUGCAGAGAGCUGGAAACGUUGAGGCGCUGUAGGAUGUGGCUGCGGCCGAUUAGGUAGACGGUGGGGUAACGGCCCACCGUGCCCGUAAUCGGUACAGGUUGUGACAGCAAGAGCCUGGAGACGGUAUCUGAGACAAGAUACCGGGCCCUACGGGGCGCAGCAGGCGCGAAACCUUUACACUGCACGAGAGUGCGAUAGGGGGACUCCGAGUGCGAGGGCAUAUAGCCCUCGCUUUUCUGAACCGUAAGGUGGUUCAGGAACAGGUGCUGGGCAAGACCGGUGCCAGCCGCCGCGGUAAUACCGGCAGCACGAGUGAUGGCCGAUUUUAUUGGGCCUAAAGCGUCCGUAGCUUGCUGUGUAAGUCCAUUGGGAAAUCCACGCGCUCAACGCGUGGGCGUCCGGUGGAAACUACACGGCUUGGGGCCGAGAGACUCGACGGGUACGUCCGGG
rnacentral:rRNA from 1 species